CGGGUGCUCUUCCGAUCUUACAAAACCUAGUUUGCCUACUCCCUUUUCCCUUUCGCUUUGGUACGUCCCUCCGGGAAUUUCGGGAACUCCGGGCUCGUCCACCUGGGGGGCUGGGGGAGAGAGUUCGGAGCCGUCCCUAUCUAUGCAGUUAACCCCGCUCGGCCGCCCCCGCCCCGACCCAGUUCCAGUUCCACUGCAAUGUUAAAUUCUGGAGUCUGGCCCCCACCGGGGUGGUGCGCAUGCCUGGAAGGCAGCAGUGUUUUCCAAAAAGACCUCGCCCUCCGAACGGAGAGGCAGGGGUUCCCUGGCGGGGUGGGGGAAAGGAACAUCUCCCACAGCUUUCACUGCUGCCUUGGGCCGCGAAACCUUCCCUCUCCCCCAGUCUUCUGUCAAGGGGACCCCGGUCCCGAAAUCCUCCCGGCCGCGCCGCAGUCCCGGCGGGGAGAGAGGAAGCCCUCUGCCGAGGGCCUCAGGCCUAGAUCUCGCUUCACCUAUUGCGUCCCCACACUACACCCUUUUUCCUUUUUGCCCCCCUUCCCGCGCCCGCCCUGCCAGCCUCCCCAAAGGGGGAAGAAAAAAAAAAAAAAAAAAGCCAGAGGGAACAGUCGCCUCCUGGUGGUGGAACGAGGUAGCGCACCGUCCGGCUCGGGUCCUUCCAGCCAGGGACCUCGCCGCGCGCGACGGUGUCUCCUCCUCUCACCCCAGCCUCGUCUAUGCAGCAAAAGACCAGGGACUUUACCAAAGUCGCCCCGCGGGCUGAGCCCUCUGCGCCCCCCUCCUCCCGUAUGGAACAGAAAGCCAUGAUGUUUUCAAGCAGAGCCAGCGAAAGCCAAGCCCUUCCUCCCUCUUUGGUGUUCUACCGCUAUAAAGGAGGUGACGGGCAAA